GUGCUUGCUUGACAGCACAUAUACUAAAAUUGGACUGAUACAGAGAAGACUAGAAUGGCCCCUGCAGAAGGAUGACAUGCAAAUUCAUAAAGUGUUCCAUAUUUUU
ensembl:snRNA U6 U6 spliceosomal RNA